rnacentral:lncRNA from 1 species
UUUUAAUUUCUUUUUGGACCAUGGUGCAAACUCCUAAUGAUUAAUUUUUUAUGUUGCCCAAGCCCCAAGGUGCAACACAUUUGGAUAAAAUCGUUUAACUCUCGUCUAUACAGUAUCAACAUUCAUAUAUACAUACAUGAUGUUAAGAAAAUCUGAUGGUAUAUCCCUCUUUUCCACAAUCUUUUAAUCUGUUUUACAUUAAUACACUACCUAACAAUUCAGGUACAGCACUACACAUUUCCAACAGUGUACUGAACACUCAACUACAGGACAAUGCUGCAAAACUGAUUGUAGCAAAAUUCCACUCUCGGUAGGAACCAGUUGGCCACGAGAAAUUCCUGUCCAGUGUGCUUCCUAAUGUCCUUGAUUUACCCAGCACAAUGUUGAAUGACUUUGGCAGGCCUUGUGCAGUUAUGAGAACUGUCUCACUGAGUCACUAGGUCGCAGAUUCGAAGCAGCCUCUCUACAUUUGUAGGGAGAAGGAUUGCCUCGGUUUAUCCCUUCCCCAAACUUCACUCAUGUGAGAGUCUCCAACAAUGGGACUGCCUUUUUUAAUUUUGAACAAAUUUGGCAUGAGAAGUUGAGAACUAUAUCAAUACAAAUAUUGAGGCAGAUGGAAGAGCGUCAAGAGACAAUGCCGGUGUCCAUACUAGAAUUGUUCAUCAUCAUUCAAAGCUGCAGGGGCUCCUUAGGUUGCAGGGACUGGCAGCAGUGGCAGAGGGUGAUCCAAAAUCAAGAGGGGGCUAAUCACACAGACACAAGCCGAUGUGCAGUGAGAAACCACCCGCUGUAGAAGGCAAGCUCGGUGGUUCCAGCAACUGUUGUAGAUUGCUGGCGGCCAAGGUCCCACGUCAAAAUUGAAUUACCUAGCAAAGGUAGCUCAAUUUUAGGAAUUAACAAUUUAUGAUAGUACGGUCCAACUUAUUCUAUGCCAGCGCGAUGCACUAUACUGCUUUCACACAUAAGAUGAAAAGUCAAAUCAUAAAGGGGAACCAAUAAAAUACUAGCUGCAGUCAUAUAUGUAGGAAGCUUCUACCGUUCGUCCUGGAGCACCCCUCCGUGAGCGUCAACUGGCCAUGACUGGCAGGUAGCAUUCUGCACGAGCACUCUGAUAAUCAUGUCGCCAAAAGUCCAUUUCCAGUCAAAUAUCCUAUCCCAAUAUCACCAAAUAAAGAGCAAGAAGUUUGCACAGUGCUUCUUGUACAGUUGAAGUGCACAAUAUAUCACUAAGUGCAAGGGCAAAUAAACCAGUGAAUUCAAAUACUUCGAUUACAAUUCAGUACUACAGUCUAGUAGUCUACUCCUAUUAAUAUUAUUUGCGUAAGUUGUAACUCAACUGAAGAAACCAAUAAAAUGCUUAGAAAAUACAAAUAAAAUCAAAAACUCAAUUUGAAUACAUGGAAACAAUAGCUGAAUAGCAUGACAAAUUCACUAUGCUGCAAAGUAACAAUCUAAAUUAUCUAUCUAACUGUGAAGAUGCACAUGUCACGUUGAUACGCAGUGGCGGAGCUAGUGCUGAAAGCAAGCAGGGGCCAAACAAACAACAAGAACAUGCUGCUGUGGGCAAGCAUGCAUCAUGAGCUGCCAGAUAGCUAGCAAGCUUGCAUGCAGCAGGCAACUAGUCAGUUAAGGUCUAAUGGUAAGCAGGAAUAGACAAAACAGCUAUGCAUGCAGCCAUGCAAGCAGACUGCAUGGAAAUAUGCAUGCAC